UACAGAGGGUGCGAGCGUUGUUCGGAAUUAUUGGGCGUAAAGCGCUGGUAGGUGGCUUGUUAAGUCGCGUGUGAAAGCUCCAGGCUCAACCUGGAAAGUGCGCGCGAAACUGGCGAGCUUGAGUGCCGGAGAGGGUCGCGGAAUUCCCGGUGUAGAGGUGAAAUUCGUAGAUAUCGGGAGGAACACCGGUGGCGAAGGCGGUUCUCUGGGCCUGUACUGACGCUGAGGAGCGAAAGCGUGGGGGAGCAAACAGG
rnacentral:rRNA from 1 species